CCUACGGGAGGCAGCAGUGAGGAAUAUUGGUCAAUGGGCGCAAGCCUGAACCAGCCAAGUCGCGUGAGGGAUGACGGUCCUAUGGAUUGUAAACCUCUUUUGUCGGGGAGCAAGGCCCGCCACGUGUGGCGGGAAGGAGAGUACCCGAAGAAAAAGCAUCGGCUAACUCCGUGCCAGCAGCCGCGGUAAUACGGAGGAUGCGAGCGUUAUCCGGAUUUAUUGGGUUUAAAGGGUGCGUAGGCGGAAGGUUAAGUCAGCGGUAAAAUGUCGGUGCUCAACACCGGCCUGCCGUUGAAACUGGUCUUCUUGAGUGAGCUAGAAGGAUGCGGAAUGCGUGGUAUAGCGGUGAAAUGCAUAGAUAUCACGCAGAACUCCGAUUGCGAAGGCAGCAUACCGGCGCUCAACUGACGCUGAGGCACGAAAGCGUGGGGAUCGAACAGGAUUAGAUACCCUUGUAGUC
rnacentral:rRNA from 1 species